UGGCGGCGUGCCUAAUACAUGCAAGUCGAGCGAGCGGACGAGAAGCUUGCUUCUCUGAUGUUAGCGGCGGACGGGUGAGUAGCACGUGGAUAACCUACCUAUAAGACUGGGAUAACUUCGGGAAACCGGAGCUAAUACCGGAUAAUAUUUUGAACCGCAUGGUUCAAAAGUGAAAGACGGUCUUGCUGUCACUUAUAGAUGGAUCCGCGCUGCAUUAGCUAGUUGGUAAGGUAACGGCUUACCAAGGCAACGAUGCAUAGCCGACCUGAGAGGGUGAUCGGCCACACUGGAACUGAGACACGGUCCAGACUCCUACGGGAGGCAGCAGUAGGGAAUCUUCCGCAAUGGGCGAAAGCCUGACGGAGCAACGCCGCGUGAGUGAUGAAGGUCUUCGGAUCGUAAAACUCUGUUAUUAGGGAAGAACAUAUGUGUAAGUAACUGUGCACAUCUUGACGGUACCUAAUCAGAAAGCCACGGCUAACUACGUGCCAGCAGCCGCGGUAAUACGUAGGCGGCAAGCGUUAUCCGGAAUUAUUGGGCGUAAAGCGCGCGUAGGCGGUUUUUUAAGUCUGAUGUGAAAGCCCACGGCUCAACCGUGGAGGGUCAUUGGAAACUGGAAAACUUGAGUGCAGAAGAGGAAAGUGGAAUUCCAUGUGUAGCGGUGAAAUGCGCAGAGAUAUGGAGGAACACCAGUGGCGAAGGCGACUUUCUGGUCUGUAACUGACGCUGAUGUGCGAAAGCGUGGGGAUCAAACAGGAUUAGAUACCCUGGUAGUCCACGCCAUAAACGAUGAGUGCUAAGUGUUAGGGGGUUUCCGCCCCUUAGUGCUGCAGCUAACGCAUUAAGCACUCCGCCUGGGGAGUACGACCGCAAGGUUGAAACUCAAAGGAAUUGACGGGGACCCGCACAAGCGGUGGAGCAUGUGGUUUAAUUCGAAGCAACGCGAAGAACCUUACCAAAUCUUGACAUUCUUUGACAACUCUAGAGAUAGAGCCUUCCCCUUCGGGGGACAAAGUGACAGGUGGUGCAUGGUUGUCGUCAGCUCGUGUCGUGAGAUGUUGGGUUAAGUCCCGCAACGAGCGCAACCCUUAAGCUUAGUUGCCAUCAUUAAGUUGGGCACUCUAAGUUGACUGCCGGUGACAAACCGGAGGAAGGUGGGGAUGACGUCAAAUCAUCAUGCCCCUUAUGAUUUGGGCUACACACGUGCUACAAUGGACAAUACAAAGGGCAGCGAAACCGCGAGGUCAAGCAAAUCCCAUAAAGUUGUUCUCAGUUCGGAUUGUAGUCUGCAACUCGACUACAUGAAGCUGGAAUCGCUAGUAAUCGUAGAUCAGCAUGCUACGGUGAAUACGUUCCCGGGUCUUGUACACACCGCCCGUCACACCACGAGAGUUUGUAACACCCGAAGCCGGUGGAGUAACCUUUUAGGAGCUAGCCGUCGAAGGUGGGACAAAUGAUUGGGGUGAAGUC
rnacentral:rRNA from 1 species